AAUAUCUCUAUCUCCAUCAACUUGUGCAAAAAGAAUGAAAUCUCUCCUUUCUUUGUGAAAUACCUUACCUCAGCCACCGUCAUAAGGGGCGGUUUCGUCUGUGGAGAACAUUCACGGUCUCAUGAACUUAGGAAGUUCACUAAAAAAAAGGAUAAUCAAGUGCAAUAAAAUGUUAAAAAAGUCAGAACAAGAAGUGACGGAUGUGAGUUUACAGGAGAAGAGUUGUUGGUUUCAAGGGAGGAAGAUUGGAUGGUGGGAGAGCAGGAGGAAGCACUAGCAACCAACCACCCUCAACAGUUGUUUGUUAAUGCAGUCAAAGGAGGCAGAAGGCCAUCGCUAGCAAUAGAAGCAAAGGACCAAACCCAGAAACCUGAUGAUGAGGUGAGUUUAGAAAAGGAGCACUCCGAAAGAAGCAAAACACAAAGCCAGAGUUCUUCUGCAACUGCCAUGCACACAGCCGAUGGGUGACUUCAGAAAAUAUUGCCCGAACUACUGCAAUCAUCAACUCAUCCCCAUCAGUAACCACAAUGGAGGGAAUUUUAUGACAUCACCUUUAAUAGAUUGUCUAACAUCCAUUUGAAUGAGGCAAUUGUCUCGUUCAACACCAACCCAAAUCCAAAAAUUGUUGUUUGCUUGUGAUUGUUGGCACCUGAAAAAAUGACAAGUAGCAUGUUGUACUUGUUCUUCUUAUAAGUUGAAUCAAAUGCAACAACAUCCCCAAAGUGUUGAAAGUCAACUCUGUUUGCUACAUUAUCCCAAAACAAGUUUGCCAACAUACCAUCCUAUAUUAAGUUAUACCAUGCCAUUGACAUUGGAUCGGAUGCUGCCUUACCCUACAAAUAAAUUAUCGUAGCAUUUGUGUCACCAUUAACAACCUUUGCAUGCUUUGUGCGAUCGAUGUAGUUUGAUGUAGUUGCACAUGUCCUUUUUUGGUGAAGCCUAACAAAGAAUACCCGUCGGGAAUCCCAGCCAUGUACCCUAAUAUCUUUGUUGUUGGCAAUCUAUAGGCAUGCAUUCCAUCCAAUGCGAGCCUUUGCAGAACCAGAGAUCCCCCGAAAUUUCGGAAUCAUAUGGAUCAUCCCCUUAGGUGUCAACUCAUGGUUAUGUUCGAGUAUAACUUUUUGAACCUUCCAAAUUAAACUACCUUUAUCCAAGUAUAUAGACAACAGGGCUUGACAAUUCGUCCGUGUCUCUGGCACUACAAAAAAAAGAGUUUAAAAUGGCAUUUAUAUUAUGGUGGUUUUGAAAACCUGCUAUAAUAUUUGGAUAUUGUGGUGUUUUUUAUUGCUGCCGUUAAGUGAUUUGUCCUUGGUGGCGAUUUGGGUCAUUACAGCGGUUCUAACCCACCGUAUCUCCCAUAUAUAUAAAAGCCCAAUUCAUUCCAACCCUAAUUUCAGAAACACUAGGUCGUUGCUGAAGAUGCGUGCAUACACUACUGCUUCCAUUGUGUGGCAAUCUCUGAUUCUAUGCGUUCCUUGACGAUCUCCUCCGGCGGCAUCUCCUCCUCCGGCGACGAUCUCCGCUGGUGAUGUCUCCUCUAGCUUCUUGCUGUCCUUCUUCUCUGCCAAAAUCCUCAGUGCCUCCCUUUUGUUCUCCCUUUCCUUCCAUUGAUGUGUCUGAUGAUGGAAACCUAGCGCAGGAGAAUAGCUUCAUAUAUGGCUGGUGGAGUGGAGGAUUUGGAUAUGGACUGUGAAUUGGGAUCUUAGAUCAGAAGUAACUUGAUGCUAACUGCAGUAUUGAUUUGAACCUAGAUUUCAAUAGGGUUCUUCCUUGUAGAAAUCUCCAAUCUGUAGUAUAUAGGCUAUACUUGGAACUCCUCAAAUGACAUGCUUUUGAACUUAAAUCUCAGAUAAAAAGGUCUCAUUAUCAAAACAUAAAGAUUUUUGUUCUAGUGACUGUGGUGGCACUCCUGAUUUUGAUUCCAGUAAAUGUGUCAAGUGGGACAUUAUUUUUCUUACGAAAAGAAUUGGUAGUGAGCGACAUUAAUAAACUCUCAAUAUCGAAUGUUCCUCCUAAAUCCACAAGAGAUUGGAUCAAGAGAGUGAGAUUCCAUCACCAAGAGAGUUAGGAAGUAAGUCUUCUGGAGCGAGAAACAAAGAAGCAUGAUCUUGUAUGAUAAAGAUUUUAUGUAUUAAGUAUUAUAGAUAUAUGUUAAGACAAAUUAUUGAAAAAUGUUAUCUUUGAUACUUUGUUUUUGGAUUAUGAUUUUCUAUUUUCGGAGACUAUGUAUGAAUUAAAAAUCUUGUUAUGAUGUUUGUUUUAACG